rnacentral:rRNA from 1 species
UACGUAGGGUGCAAGCGUUAAUCGGAAUUACUGGGCGUAAAGCGUGCGCAGGCGGCUUUGCAAGUCAGAUGUGAAAUCCCCGGGCUCAACCUGGGAACUGCAUUUGUGACUGCAAGGCUAGAGUACGGUAGAGGGGGAUGGAAUUCCGCGUGUAGCAGUGAAAUGCGUAGAUAUGCGGAGGAACACCGAUGGCGAAGGCAAUCCCCUGGACCUGUACUGACGCUCAUGCACGAAAGCUAGGGGAGCAAACGGG